rnacentral:rRNA from 1 species
UACGUAGGGUGCAAGCGUUUGUCCGGAAUUAUUGGGCGUAAAGAGCUCGUAGGCGGUUCGUCACGUCGGCUGUGAAAAACCUGAGGCUCAACCUCAGGCCUGCAGUCGAUACGGGCGGACUUGAGUACUGCAGGGGAGACUGGAAUUCCUGGUGUAGCGGUGAAAUGCGCAGAUAUCAGGAGGAACACCGGUGGCGAAGGCGGCGACCUGGUCCUUUUACUGACGCUGGAGGCGCGAAAGCCGUGGGGAGCAAACAGG